AUGUACCUUAUGGAUGCCCGGCCCACGGACGCAGGCACGCCCUACAUCAGGGCCCUCCCCACCCCACCGAGAGCCAGUUGUAAGGCAUUUACCAAGUACGCCUCGACUAAAAGCCUUCUGUAUCCUUAAUUCAGAGCUUUGGGAAGACGUCAUGUCAUCACUGACAUUGGAAACUGGAAACACUGAAUCGAC
rnacentral:lncRNA from 1 species